UGGGGAAUAUUGCACAAUGGGCGCAAGCCUGAUGCAGCCAUGCCGCGUGUGUGAAGAAGGCCUUCGGGUUGUAAAGCACUUUCAGCGAGGAGGAAGGUGGUGAACUUAAUACGUUCAUCAAUUGACGUUACUCGCAGAAGAAGCACCGGCUAACUCCGUGCCAGCAGCCGCGGUAAUACGGAGGGUGCAAGCGUUAAUCGGAAUUACUGGGCGUAAAGCGCACGCAGGCGGUUUGUUAAGUCAGAUGUGAAAUCCCCGGGCUCAACCUGGGAACUGCAUUUGAAACUGGCAAGCUAGAGUCUCGUAGAGGGGGGUAGAAUUCCAGGUGUAGCGGUGAAAUGCGUAGAGAUCUGGAGGAAUACCGGUGGCGAAGGCGGCCCCCUGGACGAAGACUGACGCUCAGGUGCGAAA
rnacentral:rRNA from 1 species